rnacentral:rRNA from 1 species
CUUGGUCAUUAGAGGAAGUAAAAGUCGUAACAAGGUUUCCGUAGGUGAACCUGCGGAAGGAUCAUUAUCGAGUUUUGACUGGGUUGUAGCUGGCCUUCCGAGGCAUGUGCACGCCCUGCUCAUCCACUCUACACCUGUGCACUUACUGUGGGUAUCAGAUCGUGAAGCGUGCUCUUUUACCGGAGCUUGUGAAGCGUGUCUGUGCCUGCGUUUAUCACAAACACUAUAAAGUAUCAGAAUGUGUAUUACGAUGUAACGCAUCUAUAUACAACUUUCAGCAACGGAUCUCUUGGCUCUCGCAUCGAUGAAGAACGCAGCGAAAUGCGAUAAGUAAUGUGAAUUGCAGAAUUCAGUGAAUCAUCGAAUCUUUGAACGCACCUUGCGCUCCUUGGUAUUCCGAGGAGCAUGCCUGUUUGAGUGUCAUGAAAUCUUCAACCUAUAAGCUUUUGUGGUUUGUAGGCUUGGACUUGGAGGCUUGUCGGCCUUGAUCGGUCGGCUCCUCUUAAAUGCAUUAGCUUGAUUCCUUGCGGAUCGGCUCUCGGUGUGAUAAUAUCUACGCCGCGACCGUGAAGCGUUUGGCGAGCUUCUAACCGUCUCACUUGAGAGACAACUUUAUGACCUCUGACCUCAAAUCAGGUAGGACUACCCGCUGAACUUAAGCAUAUCAAUAAGCGGAGGAA